GACCUCGUAGCUCAGUUGGCAGAGCAUUGGACUAGUAUCCCAAAGGUCGCGGGUUCGAUUCCCACCGUGGUCA